rnacentral:misc_RNA from 1 species
AAGUCGUAACAAGGUUUCCGUAGGUGAACCUGCGGAAGGAUCAUUGGAAGGGGAAGGGGGAGAGAGUUGGAAUGAGAAGAAUACAAACAAUAUUUAUCAAACAACAACAACAACUGCUGACAAUGGAUCUCUGGGCUCUU